AGCAACAAAAAGAAUGUUUGUUAGCUAGAAAUACGGGAUCUUAUUCAUGUGAAGAGAGCACUAGCUAUGAGGAACCAAAAAGCUAUAUAAAGGGGCACAUGACUGCUGGAAGGGUGUUGAGAAAUUCCUUCUGGUUUUUGGUUGUGGCUGGGCUAACGUUCUGCUAGACGGGAGAGUGCUCCUGGAUUCCUUUGGGAAGAUUUAUUUUGUAUUGUUGAAUUGAGUAAUUGCUUGAGACUUUGAGAGUUAUUUUGUAGCAGAGAAAUACUAUUUGUAUUCGAGAAUUUCAGUAUUCAAUACAAUCUCAGCUUUGUUU
rnacentral:misc_RNA from 1 species